GAGCGCCCCGCAAGGGGAGCGGCAGACGGGAGAGUAACACGUGGGAACGUACCCUUCAGUUCGGAACAACCCAGGGAAACUUGGGCUAAUACCGGAUACGUCCGUAAGGAGAAAGAUUUAUCGCUGAAGGAUCGGCCCGCGUCUGAUUAGCUAGUUGGUGGGGUAACGGCCCACCAAGGCUACGAUCAGUAGCUGGUCUGAGAGGAUGAUCAGCCUCACUGGGACUGAGACACGGCCCAGACUCCUACGGGAGGCAGCAGUGGGGAAUAUUGGACAAUGGGCGCAAGCCUGAUCCAGCCAUGCCGCGUGGGUGAUGAAGGCCCUAGGGUUGUAAAGCCCUUUCGGCGGGGAAGAUAAUGACGGUACCCGCAGAAGAAGCCCCGGCUAACUUCGUG
rnacentral:rRNA from 1 species